ACUUGAGCAGUACGGAUAAAACUGAUAAAAUACCUUUCUAUUCUUGUUUUGUUCGUUCGGCUCGAGUUA
rnacentral:pre_miRNA from 1 species